GGCAUUAGUGCUGUCCGCUGCAUAGGGGCAACGGAAUAAACAUGGCAAACUAAAUGCCUGCAGCAGGAAGGCUGGACUUUGGCAGGGUCUGCUGAAAGAUCCGACCCUGCCUGCUGGCUGUGCAGAGAGAGGCAGAUUCUCUUUACGUGGGCUCCUGGCAGGGGUACAGUUGAUCUCACCCACACAAACUCCAGCCCGCAGCCAUCCUGGCCACAGCCAGGCUCCUCCAGCUCAUAGGACCUGAGGGUGAUGGAGCACUGGAAGAGCUCUCCAGGGAAGCAGUCACGGCACUGAGCUGAACAAUAUUCCAGAAGCAUUAGACCAAGGCCCUCAGCCCCACAUUGUGAAUGUUGGGAUUGUCCUGUGCAGGGACAGAAGUUGGACUUGAUGAUCCUUGUGCAUCCAUUCCAAUUCAGGACAGCCUAUGAUUUUAUGAAAUCCAACCAACCCAAACCUACACGAGGCUGUGGGUUUUCCAGCACCACUCACCUUGACCCCAGCCCCUGGGUCACUCCCAUGUGGCCAUAACUUCAGCAAUUCCAAUGACCUUGAUCUGUCCCUGAACUUCCAAAAGAGAUGCUAACAGGGAUUUGAAAACAUAAUGGUGUGUCCUUGCCUUGGGGAAGGGAGAGGUGUCCUUUCCUGGGGUGGACCAUGAUCCUCCUGGAACUACAAAUAGUGCCAGUGCUUCCAGAAAGAGUGUGGCUGGAGAGCAGGCAAGCAUGGGUGCUCUGUGGGAGAGGAGAGGUGGGAAUGUUCCAGUGUAAAACAUUUCCUCUGGUUCAUGUCCAAUUAAAAAUCAUUCUGUGGCCUACAACAGCUUCUCGUCUGGCAUAUCAUGAAACCACUA